UUGUUUUGUUUGACCUUGGAUGCUUGAUAGGUAUUUUAGAUAAAUACACUGUUAGGUGUUCUUUUAAGUAUGCAUAGCAUUACAUGAAAGUCACUGUAGGAACCAGCUAAUAUAUAUAUAAAAGCUAAACUAUCACCAAGACUUCUUAAGCCAUAGCUUGACCUUCGGAAAAGUCCUUGACUUUUCCAAGCAGUAGCUUUCGUAAUAGUCGCUGAAUUCCAUUACAUUUUCCUGCAGCUUGCAGCAGGGGUAGGCAGAGAGUGGUAUGGGUACUCUUUUACAAGUGACCAGGAAAGACAAUUGUGAUAAAAUGACAUUUAUGCAAAGACACUCAUGGCAGGAACCAUGGAGACACAUGUUGGGCUGCACAAAAACACAGGCCCUGGACAAGAGCUAAUGUGCUUGAAGGCUGAGAAGGAUAGGAAGAGCUGAAGGGAAGAGAAAUGUACACAAGAGGCUAGCGGAGGGGGCGGGGCAGCCCUGUCAGGGCUUUCCAGGCUGCAGCCAAGCCUGGGAUAAAAUUCAGACACUAAGGCCUCUGACUUGAACAGAAGGCUUCAGAUCUUUGUAAAAGUAGUUCAUAAUGUUCUCAGGCAAUUUUAGCUCUGAUUAACUGCGUGCAAAGGCCUUGAUGCGUUUUUUAUAAUUACAUUGUAGGUAUUGUCUAUGAGGCAUAUUUUCUGUUAAAGAGCCAAGAAGAAUCACUGUACAAUGAUUUUUUUUAUGUCUCCAUAUAAAAUAAAAUUAAUGGCCCCUCCAGCCUAGUGUUUGUUUGCGGGGGUCAUUAUCUUAGAAGGAGGAGAAUUCUCGUUCAUGGUGACUAAGCAUAUUGAUUAAGAAUAAAUUGCAGGUAAGUUGAAAUAUGAUUUUUAAAUGAAAUAAAUCCAAGCAUGCAUGGCUUGGCCUCCUGAUUUUAAACUUAAAAAUCUGGAGAUUUUGAAAAGUUAGUCUUCUUUUAUUCUUAUCUGGUGCAAAGGUAUGACCCUUAAGUUCGUAAGUACCUGGAACUAUCAUGUUUUAUGGGGGCAGAGCAAAUUUCCAAAGGGGUGAAAAAGAUUUAAAUAAUAUUCCAUUUGGGUAGUAUAAUGUUAAUUAGGAAGAUGACAAAUAGAAAUUAAUUUCAAUUUUACAUGACCUGCUGUGUGUCUCAGCUUCUAGUUCAUCCAGAGUUUGUCUUCUGCUUCUCCAGCAGAACAGGUACUCCACUUGGGGAUGCCAACUGAAUAGAAAUUAAAUGAACUGCUCGACCACAAGUGCCUGAGGAAUUGCAGAGCUUCAUUUUGGGGCUGAAAGGAUGGCAGAUAUGUACUUUGGUGGCCUCAAAUGGAUGACAGGCUUCUGUGAAGCAUCCUGGCUGUCAGACAUACAGUUCCUUAUUGGACAGACUGUUUCAUGAGUGCAGAGGGGGUGCCGAUACUGGAGCAGAACUGUUUGGAAUUACAGCACCCCUCAGUUGCUGCCCACCUGGGAGACUCUAGGCAAGUCAUCUCCCAUUAGACAAAAAGGGAAACCGAGUCUUUUUGCCGUUAAAUAAUUUCCUCAAGGUCACGUGAUGGUCGAACAGGCUGGAAAGGGAGACUCGCUAAGCUGCUCUUCUUUAAACACCAACGUGAAAGACACACACUUAGGGAGCAGCAGGGAGGGUCGGACUGAGCCUUCAAAUUCUACAUCUCCUCCACUUCCCCAAACUAAGCAUUUUAUUGAUAUAUUUCAGAAAUGAUUAAAACAUAAAAAUUACAUUGUGGUUUUUAUAACGUUUGUGAUUUCUGGGCUGUAAAAGACAAUAAAUGAUAAUAAUAACACAUCUAACUCUACUCUCAAGAAUGAUUUUCUACUGUCAUUUAUUAGGCAUUCACUUCAGUACUUUGCUAAGCACUUUUCACAUAUUAUUUUAUGUUUUAAAAAAAGUAGCCAUAAAUUUUACUAUGU